UGAUGUAGCUCAGUCGGUAGAGCAACUGAUUCGUAAUCAGUAGGUCGGGGGUUCGAAUCCCCCCAUCA
rnacentral:tRNA from 1 species